UACGGAGGUGCAAGCGUUAUCCGGAUUCACUGGGUUAAAGGGUGCGUAGGUGGCUUUGUAAGUCAGUGGUGAAAGCCCGGAGCUCAACUCCGGAACUGCCAUUGAUACUGCUUAGCUUGAAUCAAGUAGAGGUGGAUGGAAUAUUACAUGUAGCGGUGAAAUGCUUAGAUAAUGUAAUAGAACACCGAUUGCGAAGGCAGUUCACUAUGCUUGUAUUGACACUGAGGCACGAAAGCGUGGGGAUCAAACAGG
rnacentral:rRNA from 1 species